CGCACAUUGCGCCCGCCAGUAUUCUGGCGGGCAUGCCUGUCCGAGCGUCAUUUCAACCCUCAAGACCCCUCGAAGGGGGGGGCUUGGUGUUGGGGACCGGCCUCACCGCCGCCCCCGAAAUGCAGUGGCGACCUCGCCGCAGCCUCCCCUGCGUAGUAGCACAACCUCGCACCGGAGCGCGGAGACGGUCACGCCGUAAAACGCCCAACUUUCUCAGAGUUGACCUCGGAUCAGGUAGGAAUACCCGCUGAACUUAA
rnacentral:misc_RNA from 1 species